GACGAACGCUGGCGGCGUGCUUAACACAUGCAAGUGGUGCGACGAACCAGGCUUCGGCCUGGGGCGAAGCCGCGAACGGGUGAGUAACACGUGGGCAAUCUGCCCCUUUGAUCGGGACAACCCGGGGAAACCCGGGCUAAUACCGAAUGAGGUGGCGACACAUGAGAGUCGUCACGAAAGGAAGCUUCGGGCCCCGCGAAGGGAUGAGCCCGCGGCCCAUUAGCUUGUUGGUGGGGUAAUGGCCUACCAAGGCAACGAUGGGGAGCUGGUCUGAGAGGACGAUCAGCCACACUGGGACUGAGACACGGCCCAGACUCCUACGGGAGGCUGCAGUGGGGAAUCUUGCGCAAUGAGCGACAGCUUGACGCAGCAACGCCGCGUGAGGGAGGAAGGCUUUCGGGUCGUAAACCUCUUUCAGUUAGGACGAAGCUUUAUUGGUUAAUAACCAAUUGGAGUGACGGUACUUUCAGAAGAAGCCCCGGCUAACUGCGUGCCAGCAGCCGCAGUAA
rnacentral:rRNA from 1 species